rnacentral:rRNA from 1 species
GACAGAGGAUGCAAGCGUUAUCCGGAAUGAUUGGGCGUAAAGCGUCUGUAGGUGGCUUUUAAGUCCGCCGUCAAAUCCCAGGGCUCAACCCUGGACAGGCGGUGGAAACUACCAAGCUGGAGUACGGUAGGGGCAGAGGGAAUUUCCGGUGGAGCGGUGAAUGCGUAGAGAUACGGAAAGAACACCGAGCGGAGGAACGGUCACUCGCGAG